GCCCUGAGAGGCGGUGAGGCUGUGCAGUCCGGGUUCUGCUGAGCUUUCUCCCCACUUCCUUUUCGCUGCCCAGUUUUCCUGUCCUUGAUGUCCCGGGCCUGGCGUGUCUUGGACGGAAACUCGGCAUCUUCUGUUUACUGCUGGCAUCCACGAAACAGUAACAGGCCCCAGACUCUUCACAGAUCCUGAAACCACUCACCUGCCUAAGACUGACAACGUUGGCACAAUUUCAACCUCCCUGUGCCUUUCUUCCCGGGGAAGGAAGCUGAGAGGGGAUGAAUCAAGUAACAUAAUAAACUUCUGAGAAGAAAAGAAGCUUCAUAUCAAGACUUGGAAAGAAGUGCAAAUCUCUUAGUGAAGAAACUGCCAAGAAAAUUACUGCUCACCUAGCUCAAAGAGAAACAUUAAUUAAAGGGCCACAUCCACAGCAUAUGCAGGUUACCAGGCCAGGGGUUGAAUUGAAGCCACAGCUGCUAGCCUUCGCCACAGCCACAGCAACACAGGAUCCAAGCUGCAUCCGUGAGCUACACCACAGCCCACAGCAACACCAGAACCCCAACCCACUGAGCAAGGCCAGGGAUGGAACCUCAAAGUCAUGGUCACUAGUCCAAUUCAUUUCUGCUGUGCCACAAUGGGAACUCCUCCUUUGGUAUUGUUAACAUUUGGACCUUUCACUCACGUGUGCUCUGAUCUUCACAAAAGGGCUUUAGGAUAUUAAUUAGUCUAGAAACAAAUGUAUCCUUAUCUGGUGUUGAUCACCAUUAUACAGUUACUAAGCUAAAAGUGCAUCAAAUAUUAAAAAUCAGUUAAGUUACAGAAAACAUAAUGAAUGAUCCGAAAAGACUGCAUGCCAUCUAGAGAAAGAAAAAAUUUCUGCUUUGAUUAUUUUAUGGAUAUAUCUUUUGUAAUUCAUUUAACCUGGCAACUUAACAUUUUUGCACCUGUCUAUUGCAUUUCAUAGUAUAAAUUUCCAUAGCUAUUAUCUUUUAGUUUCUUACACGUUGUUCUCCAUAUAGCAACAAAUUGUAAGUGUUGUGCUUGUUGGAAGCUAGAUGUGGUGUGUAUUGAGAACUAUAUAUAGAGGUGGCCCUCAAGUACUUAGAAGUAAAGGAAAUAGAAUGCCUUGUGAGACAAACAGUAAACUGAGCAUAACUACCCUAUCUUUGAUGGGAAAAUUCUCCUGCAAAAGAUAUAACUUUCUGUGCCUUCAGAACUUUAAAAUAUGGAUGAUGUUUAUAUA
rnacentral:lncRNA from 1 species